rnacentral:sRNA from 1 species
GUAAUGCCGGUGGGUUUCGUGACUUC